rnacentral:rRNA from 1 species
GGACAAAUUGAGAAAGUCGUAACAAGGUUGUCCGUAGGUGAACCUGCGGAAGGAUCAUUA